rnacentral:RNase_P_RNA from 1 species
UAAGUAGGAUAAAUGGUCGCGGCUGGCAGGCCGAAAGGUGCCAGACGAGGAAAGUCCGGGCUUCACAGGGCAGGGAUGCCGGAUAACGUCCGGUGGAGGCGACUCUAAGGAUAGUGCAACAGAAAUGAACCGCCGGUGCAGUGCUGUGGAUUCUGUUUUACGGAACAUGCAAGCGGCUCCGGUAAGGGUGGAAGGGCAGUGUAAGAGACUACCGCCCUCCCGGUAACGGGAGGGGCAUAUGUAAACCCCAUCCGAAGCAAGACCGAAACGAAGCAUAUGGCGGCCCGUCAGCUUCAGGUAGGUUGCUGGAACCUGCCGGCAACGGCAGGUCUGGAUAGAUGACCAUUCACGACAUAACCCGGCUUAUCGUCCUGCUUAUAAA